rnacentral:lncRNA from 1 species
UUGAAAUUGAGUUUCCAUGGUGAUGGUAUUACGAGGUGAUACUAUUAAGAGGUGACUAGGCCAUAAGGUGCCUACCUUCAUAAAUGGAUUAAUACUAUUAUUGCAGGAGUAGGUUAGUUAUUGAGAGAGUGGGCUUCUGGUAAAACGAUGACGUUCAACCCCCAUCUUUCCUCUGUUUUAUGUGCUCAUUUGCCCUUCCACCUUCUGCCAUGGGAUGACACAGCAGAAAGGUCUUUGCCAGAUGCCAGCAUCUUGAUAUGAACUGUCCUAACCUCCAGAACUGGCUUCAAUAUCAAACUUCGUUGGCUGUGUGGAUACAAAUCGGGAAAAGGAAAAAUAUCAACACAAAAAGGGAAAGCUCCUCUUGGAGAAGUUCUGAGGAAACACUAGGAUCUGGUCACGCUUACAUGGUCUUAUCUUUUGAGUGCCCAUAGCCUAGUCACAAGUGGCAAUUCAAGUUAUAUUUAAGUUAUCACACAAAGUUGAAUAUGUCAUACCAGGUGCCUUUCUUAUUAAUAAUCAAGCCACUGAACUAUGUACUUUUUCACUAUUGAUCUAUUUGUGAUUUGCACUCAAAUUUCACUAGUGGGGAAAUUUCUUUGUAAACAGGUGCUCAGCAUCAUGUUUCUGAAAUGUUAAGUUAUGGUGUACAAAUUGCUACCCACCUAGAGAGGUGGUACAUGCUAAUUUAAAGUUGCCUAUUAUAAAAUCAUUAUUUCUUGGUACCUUUAGGGCACAAGUGGAAGUGAUAACUUUUGAAAAAUAAAGUUGUUGAACAUCAAGAGAUGCCCUGUGUGAUGUGUGUGUGUGUGUGUGUGUGUGCAUGUUUUGAAAGACAAGAGCAUUAAAAUUAAUGUCUGUUCUAAGAGUUCCUCACUUUGAUGGAUAUAUCUGGAGCAAUUAAGGAGAUUUGUUCUCCUAAAUCGACAUUUUUACUCAAUUAUCCUUUUAAAUUAAUCCAAAGUUUUACAAGAAAGAGGGGAAAAUAUAAAAUGCUGAUGAAUUGUAUCAUUUUCUU